UAAAACUCGAGAACGGCUGACCAGAUUUAUCUUAUCUUGGUCUUGAAAUGUUCGUGGAGGUAUAGAGAAGGUUUAAAAGUAGCGGACGCCCGUGACUUCGUCCGCGUGAAAAUCGAUAUAAGCUAUCAACCCCCUCGCUGGCCUGAAAAGUGCUGAUGGACGUCCAAUGUUGGAUAUGGACGUUCAAAGAAGUCUUUACGUCCACGGUCCUCGGUUUUCGCAUCGGCAUCCAGCGAUUCUUUGUUACCCGCUUGGUAUCAUCGUUCUACCUUGUAUUCCAUACUAAUUGACGCCCGUGACUUUGUUCGUGUAAAAUUCAGUUUUUCAAAAAUUGCUCGGGAACUAUGGAUUUUUAUUGAAAACCUCCUUUGUCUUCCAUUAAAAUUGGUUAAAACGUUCCAGAAUGUUCCAGUCAGACAAAAAUUUAAAAAAGAUUUCGUUUACUAAUUCGUUCAAGCCUUAACGCUUAAUUCCGUGGCGCUGAAACUAUAAUUUUUUUCCGGAAUAUAAAGUAAGUCCUCAAAAACCUUCCUUGUAUUUUAUUAAAAUUGGUUAAAACGUUCCAGAACGUUCCAGACAGACAAAAAUUUCAAAAAAGUUUUCGUUUACUAAUUCGUUCAAGUUUUAACUCUUAAUUCCAUGGCGCUGAAACUAUGAUUUUUUCCGAAAUAUAAAGUAAGUCCUAAAACCUCCUUUGUUUUUUAUUAAAAUUUCAAAUAUAUUUGUUAGUUUAAUAAUGCGUUCAAGACUUAACGCUAAAUUCCUUACACAUAUAUUUUCCAACAACACGUAUAGCAUAGAAUUAAGUAUAUGUACGAUAGACACAAACGACCGGUUUUUAAACCUCGAACUGUGUAGAGGAAAAAAGUUCAAUGAAACAUAAACAUGUAAGAAAAAAUCCAUCAGGUAGAUACUUAAUGUGCUUCAUGGUUUUUUUAAUAAUAUAUUCCGAAAUUUGGCAAUAAAAGAAACAAAAUAAUAUUUAUUUAUUUGACUAUGCUAAUAAAAAAUAUAAAAACCAAGACUCAAUAUCAAACACCAUACAAAACAAACAUCGAGUCUGUGAACAAGAAAGACCGGUUAAAGAAGACUGUAAGCUGUCUCGUUAAUUAGUUUUAACAUUUUUACGCGAAUUCGGAACAUGAGGUGGGUUCGGUGAAAAAAAGAAUUCAGAUUUAAGUAACUGUCAAUAGCAAAUAUAAUAAUUAAAGACACAAUGGUACCCUAGAGAAGGAAAAAGAAGAAAAGGUAGAGCACAAAAAGUAUGGGAUGACGAUAAUAUUAGACAAGAAGCUGGCGUGACGUGGAACAGAGUGGCUGAAGAAAAACAGUAAUAGAAGAGGUGUGAGGAGCCUUUGCCGAUUGGUAAACAUAUUUGCAAAAACUAAACAAGAAACAGCUACUAGUUACAAUAGACUUUUCCAUACGUUACAUUUCUCAUUUGUGUUUUUAGUUUAUUGAUGUAAAAUUAAUAAUAGUCUGAGUAAAAGUCUUCGAACAGUGGGUGUUGCCAGUGAUGACCUAUAGUUCCGCUACUUGGUCGCAAACUAUCAUAACAAGACUAGAGUCACACAGCAGGCGCUGGAACGAGUUAUGCUCGAAGUAUCUCUACGUGAUCGAAUCAGAAAUGAGGAGAUCCGCAGAAGAACCAAAGUCACCGACAUAGCUCAACGAGUCGCAAAGCUGAAGUGAUAAUGGGCGAAGGUGGGGCACAUAGUUCGAAGAGCCGAUGGAUACCUUGGUCUCAAGGUGCUGGAAUGGCGACAACGCACUACAAAGCGCAGUGUUGGCACCCCCACCUGGUGGCGACAUAACGUGAGUCGCAGGGAUUCGCUAGACGCAGAAGGCUCAGGAGCGUGAUGUUUGGAAGUCAAUCAGUCAAAAAGCCUAUGUCCUGCAGCGGACUCGGCUGAUAUGAUUAUGAAUAAAAUACUAU